GUCUAUGUGGCGCAAUUGGUUAGCGCGUUCGGCUGUUAACCAAAGGUUGCUGGUUCAAGCCCAGCCAGGGACG
rfam:Ciona savignyi cont_44521, whole genome shotgun sequence.